rnacentral:rRNA from 1 species
AUAUUGCACAAUGGGGGAAACCCUGAUGCAGCAACGCCGCGUGAAGGAAGACGGUUUUCGGAUUGUAAACUUCUAUCAAUAGGGAAGAAAGAAAUGACGGUACCUAAAUAAGAAGCCCCGGCUAACUACGUGCCAGCAGCCGCGGUAAUACGUAGGGGGCAAGCGUUAUCCGGAAUUAUUGGGCGUAAAGAGGGAGCAGGCGGUCGUAAGGGUCCAUCGGUAAAAGACCGGGGCUAAACUCCGGGAAGGCGAGGAAACCGUACGACUAGAGUACAGCAGAGGAUCGUGGAAUUCCAUGUGUAGCGGUGAAAUGCGUAGAUAUAUGGAGGAACACCAGUGGCGAAGGCGACGAUCUGGGCUGAAACAGACGCUGAGUCCCGAAAGCGUGGGGAGCAAAUA